CAGCUGGCUCAUACUGCACAUCUGCAUUCAGUUUCCUUUGGAGGUGUUAGCCCAGAGCGGGCAUCCUGCCAAGUUUCCAGGUGGGAAAAAAACACAGGAGCUGCAAUUUUUCAGUGGUGAUUCAGCUGCGUUUUUAAAGAAAACAACUCCCCUCGACUGCAGCAGGAAAUCACUGUUUGGAUUUAUGAGGCACCUCUUCCUGACCAUCCUCUCUGAAAAAGCCUUUGCUAGAUUGACAUGGUGCUCCAUUCUCGACUCCUGCUGGGAGAAGCUGGACAAUGGGAGCUUGGAGAGGCUCUUCCAAGGCUCAAGCAAACAUCUGUGGGGAUUAUGCUGAUCUCUAGUAAUGCUGGAAUAAGUGUGAUCUCUCCUGUGCGACAUGACACCUUGGGACCCAGUGCUCAAAACUUCUGGACUGGUAGAUCUUGAUCAGAUCCCUCUGAGAAGCUCAGAUUUGUGAGGAGCACGGUAUAAAAAACUAUACAGAAUAGAAUGUUCUGAGCUGCCUUCCUCGUGGUCUUUGGUCCCUUUCCUCACCAUACACAGGCGAUGGUUAACUCAAACCACGAUGUAUUUUCCUUCUCCAACUUGGUAGCAAUGCAGAACAGCGCAGAACCUGGAGAUAUAUGGUCUAUGCUCAGGCCCCGGUGUACACAGGCUGGCUGAAGUAGUCAGAUAGGUUGCAGUUUGGCACAGAAAUCAGCUGGACUUUGCCAGUUCUACGCGCUUCAGAUGUAGCAGAGUUCAGACAGCUUCUGACCCCAUGAGAUAAUUUUCUCGGUAUUCUUUACUGGCCAACACAACGCCAAGCUGACUGACACCCCACCCCCACGCAACACAAAGGUGUGCCAAGGGGCUGCUGCAUUUGGAGUGUGAUUGAGAGUCUAAGCAGUCUCGGGAGGAUUGUUGCAAAAACCAGCGAGCAUCAUAUAGCAACUUAAUUCAGCUACAUCAGCAGGGGAGAGGCCAUUCCAGCUUGGACCAGCUUUCAAAUAACUCCACCAGCAGGAUAUUAAGUGGCAGCGUACUUAGCUAAUCAAACACAAAAGAAAAGCAUGACAUCAUAAGAACCAGUCGCCAUCAGCCAAUGAGCAGUCCUGAAGACAGAACACUCACCUAGCAAUGACGGAGAAAGGAUGAACGUUUUCAAGGGUGUUGCAUACACUGCAAGACUUUCUCCACUAUUCACACGCAGCCGCCACUAGGUGCACUGGUAACUGAAUGCUGUAGCCCCCUUAUGGCAGGGUGCUUCACUCACUCCUCAGCUGGUGCCUCCUCCUGGCCGCUCCAGGGAGUAGCUCAUGAAGUUGACACUUCUUCCUGUGGUCGCACACCAUCACUCCGUCUCUCUCUGGUCUGCAGCUCUACUCUUGCUCCAGGAACUGCAGCGUCCUCUCCGUGAUUCAGCCCUCCGGCCAGAUUGCUUAGCAUCCCCCCUUCAGGGGUACAGUCCUUCCAAGUGUCCUUGACCCAGGUAGUCUUCUAGUUGACUGCCCCACUGGUGCCGCUUCCCCAGUGGUGGGCAGGGGAACCCAGGCCUGCCCUCUACUCCAGGUUCCAGCCCAGGGACCCUACAACAUGCAGCCAAGGUCUGUUCAGUCCCCAACCUUGCUGCUUACUUCCUGGGCUGCUUCCUACCCCAGCACUCCUGGGGUUUGCCAGCCUCUGUAUUCCCUUCUUCCAGGGAGUGACCCUGGGCUACUUGUCGCUAUAGACCCCAAACACACCUCCCUUCUCCCAGGGAGUGACUGCAGACACCUCCAUGCAGCCCCCAGCCUGCUCCCAGCUCCCUGGCUUUAUAGAAGUCCCAUCUGUUCCCACACAGGUGAGCUUGCCGUAAUUAGGGCUUUCCUCUCAGCCUUCAGCCUAAUACAGGGAUUGGCAACC